rnacentral:lncRNA from 1 species
GGUUUUCAAGGCUCUAAAGGCCAUAGCAAGAGACCUCAAGUCCGGUGGGCCUUUUAAUGGCCAAGUCUUUAUUGAAGUCAUUGCUGGUUUUAGGUAGCAAUUGGGGCUUUCUAAGGGAAAUUGGUAAGUAAUGAUAUUGCCUUCCUUUCUACGUCUGAAAUUGUGUGGAUUUAUGCAUCUUUAGUGUUCGUAAUUUGAUAGUUGUGUUUAUUCAAUUUGUGUUUUAUUGAAGGUUUCUUUAUUGGUUUUCUAUAUUUUUGAAUUUGCCGUUGUAAUUUGUACUACAUAUUGCUAAUUUUGUAAUAUUUUAUGAAUCAAUUCUUAUUAUUUCAUGGUUCACAUUGGAGGGUUUUUUUUUUUUAAAAAAGAAAAAAAACAAUUUUUUGUUUUAGAGAGAUCGAUUGCUUAAAAUUUUGAUUUUUAUUUGAAGAGGUUUUUUUUUGUUUUAUUUCCUUAUGUAACUUAAUAAAAUUAUAAACAAAAAUCUGCGCAUAACAUUAUUAAAUUUUUACCAAAUAUUCAUAAGGACUUUUAAUUGUCAUCAUUUUUUAAUAUUUAAAAAAAAAACUGUUAUUUUGACGACAAAUAUAGGCAAGGUUCAUUCUUUACAUUUGAAGUAUAAUAUUUUAAAAUAUAUGUCCUUUUGGUUUAUAUUUUAAAAAGUGAGUUUGACAUUGUUCAAGACUCUCUCAAAAGGAAGAGCAUCCCCCUUAAAUGUCAUGUUUUUUUCUUUCCAAACCUCUCCUAAAACUGCACUUUUAACAAUUUUCCAGGUAAUACCAAUUACACCCACUUUUUGUAGGCUUGGGAAGGCGAGCUGAGUAUUUAUUACAAGUUAUUAGUGCGUUGAAAAAGUCAUAUUUUGCUUUUUCAAUAUUAUUAUUAUUUUUUUGAUAUUUCUUUUUCUCCUAUCUCUUUUAUAUAUUUACGUGCAACACACGUAAUCCUACUAGUGUAUACAAAAAGUUUGAAUUCUCUAAUAAUUUCAAUUAAUUUUUGUUACUAUGGAUUAGUGUUCGUAAAAUUGAACCAAAACGGUUAUCCGAACAUGGGUCUAGAAGCGGUUUAACCGGCCUAAUUGGCCAAUUCAACCGCUCUAGCCGGACAAGUUUGGGGAGGUAAAAAAAAAGUGCUGAAAUUUUUUUAAAAAAAUGUAAAAAAAUAUAUACUAAAAUAUGAAAAACAUAUAAAGAAUGAUUAAAACAAAACACAUUCAAAUGAAGUUGAAAAUUAAUGAAAAAAAAUGGAUUUUAACCUAUUUUAUAUUUUUCAAUGGCUAUUUUUUAAAUUUUCUAAAAAAGAAGGAAAAAUGUGAGUAUUAAUGACCAAAACAAUUUUCAUUGUUUACAAUAAUGUAAAGCAUAUUUAAAAAUGUAUUAUAAAUUCCCUAUUUUUUAGAAUUUAUAUACAUUUUUUUGAUUUUUUUUUUUUAAAUACCAAUUGAUCAGGCCACUGACCGGAUCCGAUCUAACCGGGUGGUUAGUGGCUAGAUCGGACGAUUUUGCGAACAAUGCUAUGGAUUUCAAAGAACAUGCCUAUUAGCGGAUUGCUUCUAGAGUGGUUGAAUUGGAGAAAAAUAAAUGCUAGGUGCUUCUUUUAUGUUUUAUCGAAAUUGGAUCGAUAUUCAUUUUACCUUGCCAAGGACAUGCUUAAUUUCUGAUAACUUCUAAAGCACAUGAUUCAUGUCAUAGUCCUUCAUGGCUUAAUAUUUCUCUUUCAGUUUUUUCAUAAAUUUAUUGUCGACAUUUUCAUUUGAAUUAAUUAAUGUGAAAUCUCAUUAAGUCCAUAAAUUGUUGUGCACGAUUUUUAUUUUUCAUCAUAUUUUGAAGUUUUUUAAAUGAAAAAAACUCCUUGUUUGGCACUUAGUGCUCUUAAGCACAAGUGCAAAGCACGUGUAAACAAAAUGCUUUAAUAUAAGGAAAAAAUUUAUACAACGUUGCAACCUUAAAAUGUAGAUUAGGUUGCACCUCAAAAAUCCAUCAUAAAAUGUUUUUUUUUAUGUUGAAAAUCCCUCUAAUUGAUCAUCGCGACAUCGAGAUGUAUGAAUAUAAAAAUAAAAGAAGAUUUUGAGUCUUAAAAAUAAUGUAUCUUGCAACAUAUUAUCUAGACCGUCCAUGUUCAAGAUUUUCAAGUGUUUAUGGAUCUACUUGAUUUGAACUUUUUUUUUUAGUUUAAGAUUUUACAAUUAGAGAUGAAAAUAGAUUUUCAAGCCAUCCUAAUAAUUUUUUAUACUAGAAUUAUAUUAAUGAUAAAAUUUAAAAGUGCAUCUUAAUUUAAUUGAUUAAGAUUACGACCUUAUACAAACGACACCCUUGACAAAACAGUAUGUUGAAACCAAAUCGACAGUCAAAACUUAGUUUGAAUAAGUCAUAAGAUGCCAUGAAAUAGAAGAAAAAUUAGGCCCAGAGAUUCUCCAAGCUAAAACUUAAUUUUCUUUGGAAAUGAUUGCCAUCAAUGACUUUUUCUAGUAAGAGAGAUUAAGACGGAACCCUUAGGUUAAGACGAUUUUCCAACUUAAAUCAUAGGCAAAGUUUUAUCAAGAGUCUCUCUCUCAUAUUAAAAGGAUCUCUUAUUAUCCCAACACUUUUCAUACAUAAAUAUUCGAAGUUCGAAUUCAUCUUUUAAACUUGCCAUGGGUCAUCCCAAAUAAAAUCCAAUAUGCAAAAAAAGUAACUAUAAUACUUCUUCUGAACUGUUAUAGUUUCCGUUAUUACAAUUCUACCAAAUAGUUUAUGUUAUUAAAAAAAAAAUGACUUUACCAUUUUUCAAUCGUUGAACAACCGAAUUUAAAGCAUUUUUCGUUGCUCAACAACCAAAAAUCGGGUCUUCCUUUUUUUUUUUAAACUUCUCUCUACAUUCCAUAGGUAAAAAUGGUUUUUUUUUUUAACUUCUCUCUCUCUACAUUAUAUGGGUAAAAAUGGUUUUUUUAAAAAAACUCUCUCUCUCCCCUACACUGAGUCUUUUUUGGGUAAGUUCAUAAUCCCUGAGAUUUCUCCUAAAUUUAGGGGCUCAAACUAGUUGUUUCCCCUGAUUUUAUCGGAUAACCAUGACUUUAAAGUGGUAGAGAGAGAAUAUGCACAAGAUUUCUCUUAAUCUUCUAAUCUCAAUAAUCCCUAAGAUUUCUUCUAAAUUUAGGGGCUCAAGCUAGUUGUACCACUUUGAUUUUAUCGGAUAACUAUGGCUUUAGAGAGGAAGAGAAAAUACGCCACAAGAAAGAGAAAACAUUUUUCAGUUUUUCACCAACCAAAAAUACUUCGAAUUCUGUUGUUUCGUCUUUUUUUUUUUUUAAUUUAUGUUUUGACAUGAAAAAAAUGGACACAGUAGUAAUGACCAAAACUAUUCCGUAGAGCAGUAAUAACAAAAACUAUGACAGAUAUGUAUGUAAUUUUUCCAUUAAUCUUAACACCCCAAUUUGAUAUUCGUGUUUUUUAAUUAGGCGUAUUUUUGUUAUAUAAAAUUAGGCUUUUAUGGAAGCCCAUAAAAGUGCAUUGGAGAGAGAAAAAAACAUAAGAGAGUGAACAGCAGUUUAGGGAGAUAGAACUAGGGGGUUUCUUACAAACCCUAGCAUUGUUGUGUCGUUGCAUUAGGCCGAAUUUAAUGAUAUUUCUUUACGACAACAGAGUUGUUCGACGGUGAUAAAGAAAUGAUUGAUUGAAUUCAAUAAAGUUUAUGAUAUUCGUAAAAAAAAGGAAUUGAGUUGAUUGGUGGUGAAAUUGUCACAGGGAAAAUCAAUUUUAGUUUUCUUUGCCAGGUAAUCUCUAUAAAAUUUAUAACCGUGUAAAUUUUUUUAUUGGUAGUGAAUUCAUCAUUGCUAGUUGUCCACGAUUGUAGGCCGAUUUUGGCCGAACCACAUAUAUUUAUGUGUUGAUAAUGAUUGCAUUAACGUUUGUAGUUUACAAUUAUGUUUUUUAUUUUUCUAUUUUUUGUUUUUCUUGAUUUCAUCUUCUUUUUUUUCAAAUUUAUUACAUCAUAUGCAGUUCUUAUGUGUUUGGAUUUAUUAAAAGCAAUCUGGUGUUAAUUAAUGAGUUGACUUUCGAAGUAUUGGAUUUGUUGUGGUGGGGUUCAUCGUAACAAAGGGUAAUCAAGCAAGCCUCAGUUCCCGACAUUCAGGACAAGACAAAAAAAAAAUGCAGGGUUAUGUAUGUGGGAUCAAUUUCUUUCUUCUCCAAUACUCAAAAGAAACACUUCUUUCCAGCAUUAUGGGAGAACACCAGCUUCAACCUUCUAAGAAGCCCUAAUUUUUUUUGUGUUUUGGAAGAAAGACCUCAUGUAAUUUUUCUGUACUUCCGAAAACCUAUAGAGAGAAAGAAGAGCCUUCAACCUGUGUCUAUAAUUUUUUGGCUUACCCUUCC